rnacentral:tRNA from 1 species
ACCUGGGUGGCUCAGCUGGUUGAGCGUCUGACUUCAGCUCAGGUCAUGAUUUCACGGUUCAUGGGUUCAAGCCCGUGUCGGGCU